AAUGAAGUCAUUACAUAUCCAAAUAAAGAAAAUAAACCAAAUCAAAGCACAGAGCGUGGAUCGAGCACUGGAAACUCGACAAAGGAAACGAGAUCUGAAACCACAACUACAAGAUCUUGACAGGAAAAAAACUAAAUUCUUGCAAUCUCGACGAAAAAACCCUAAAUCCCACGGAAAUGAAACAGAUCUAGAGGCAGGAGAUCUACCUUUUUCGUGCGAUUUGACCUGGGUUUCGAGAGGAGGAUGGGACGAAGAAUGAGAAGAGAAGCAGAAGGUC
rnacentral:lncRNA from 1 species